CGCCCUCUUUUAAUAUCAACUCCCAUCAACCAACAACUCCUUCUCAUAUAAUCUCUUUUUAAGCUAGCAUUCCUCUCAUUUUCUUCAUUGGCGCAUCGGCAAUCAAACGAAAAGGGAGAUUCAUUGUGCUGCCAGAGGUAAGCCUAGGCUUAAAUCCCUCCAUUUCCUUCAUAAGUUCAGCCUGCAAUUGUUAAGCAAAUAAGCAAUUUAUUUCAGUUUCUAUCCAUUGAGCUCCAGAGCAACCAACCAAAAACACAAGAACAUUCAAGGUAUUUUUACAUCGGUAUGCUUUCUUCUUUGUUACACGCCUCAUUUCCCAUGAAGCAUAUGAUCAGUUUAUUUGAAAAGCAUAGUAGGAGACGAAUGGUAUAAUCUUUUAUCCAUAUAGAAUCAACAACCCAUGACUUUCACACAAGGCAAAUACAAUGAGAAUUUCUGACGACACAUAGCAAAACCAUGAUGCCUAGUUUCAAUCUAUAGCAUAAACGACAAUAGGAGCCAAAGGUUUAAUU
rnacentral:lncRNA from 1 species